rnacentral:rRNA from 1 species
AUACGGAGGGGGCUAGCGUUGUUCGGAAUUACUGGGCGUAAAGCGCACGUAGGCGGGCUGUUAAGUCGGGGGUGAAAUCCCGGGGCUCAACCCCGGAAUGGCCUUCGAUACUGGCAGUCUUGAGGUCGAGAGAGGUGAGUGGAAUUCCGAGUGUAGAGGUGAAAUUCGUAGAUAUUCGGAGGAACACCAGUGGCGAAGGCGGCUCACUGGCUCGAUACUGACGCUGAGGUGCGAAAGCGUGGGGAGC